rnacentral:rRNA from 1 species
UACGUAGGGGGCAAGCGUUGUUCGGAAUUAUUGGGCGUAAAGCGCGUGUAGGCGGUUUGUUAAGUCUGUUGUGAAAGCCCUGGGCUCAACCCAGGAAGUGCACUGGAUACUGGCAGACUUGAAUACGGGAGAGGGUAGUGGAAUUCCUGGUGUAGGAGUGAAAUCCGUAGAUAUCAGGAGGAACACCGGUGGCGAAGGCGGCUACCUGGACCGAUAUUGACGCUGAGACGCGAAAGCGUGGGUAGCAAACAGG